AUUGAACGCUGGCGGCAGGCCUAACACAUGCAAGUCGAGCGGAUGAAGGGAGCUUGCUCCUGGAUUCAGCGGCGGACGGGUGAGUAAUUCCUAGGAAUCUGCCUGUUAGUGGGGGAUAACGUCCGGAAACGGGCGCUAAUACCGCAUACGUCCUGAUGGAGAAAGUGGGGGAUCUUCGGACCUCACGCUAUCAUAUGAGCCUAGGUCGGAUUAGCUAGUUGGUUUGGUAAAGGCCUACCAAGGCGACGAUCCGUAACUGGUGUGAGAGGAUGAUCAGUCACACUGGAACUGAGACACGGACCAGACGCCUACGGGAGGAAGCAGUGGGGAAUAUUGGACAAUGGGCGAAAGCCUGAUCCAGCAAAGCCGAGUGUGUGAAGAAGGUCUUCGGAUUGUAAAGCAAUUUAAGUUGGGAGGAAGGGAAGUAAGUUAAUACCUUGCUGUUUUGACGUUAACAAAAGAAUAAGCACCGGCUAACUUCGUG
rnacentral:rRNA from 1 species